GCCUGCCUGGCUCAGUCAGUAGAGCAUGCGACUCUUGACCUCAGAGUUGUGAGUUCAAGUCCCAUGUUAGGCA
rnacentral:tRNA from 1 species